rfam:Myotis lucifugus cont2.25214, whole genome shotgun sequence.
AGUCGUUCUCGGGUGACACACCCCAGAACCAGAGAGGAAGGAGCCUGAUUCUGGGGUGCGUCGUCUGAGAACUGCC